CAGGCUCAGCACCAUCAUAACCCAGCCCACACCUCGUGGCAGAGGAAUCCUCACUGAGCCACCAGCCUCUAACCUCUCCAUGCCAUCGUAUGACAUCAUAUGACACCUGUGUCAAGCCUCAGAAACUCUUUCAAGGAGCCCUGGCUAGGCAGUUAAGAAGAAGGACGACUUCCUGAACAUUGACACAGGAAAGACACCUGGCCUGAAUUCUCCCUGAGCCCAUGUAUCUGCCUGUGUC
rnacentral:lncRNA from 1 species